AACUAACGCUGGCGGCGCGUCUUAAACAUGCAAGUCGAACGGAUGUAGCAAUACAUUAGUGGCGAACGGGUGAGUAACACGUAGGUAAUCUACCUCUGAGUCUGGAACAACCUGAUGAAAAUCAGGCUAAUACUGGAUAGUAUUAAUUUGGCGAAUGUCGGAUUAAUUAAAGCAUUUAUGCGCUGAGAGAUGAGCCUGCGGCUGAUUAGCUAGUUGGUAGGGUAAUGGCUUACCAAGGCGACGAUCAGUAGUUGGUCUGAGAGGACGGCCGAGCCACACUGGGACUCGAGACACGGCCCAGACUCCUACGGAGGCAGCAGUGGGGAAUUUUGGGACAAUGGGCGCAAGCCUGAUCCAGCAAUGCCGCGUGAGUGAAGAAGGCCUCGGUGUAAG
rnacentral:rRNA from 1 species